rnacentral:lncRNA from 1 species
GGUAAAAUAUAUAUAAUUUCAUUCUGUUUGGUAAGGUUAUUUAUUUUCAACUCUUCACCAGGCCAGACCAUACCCGUAGCCAACGUUGGGGGGUUGGUUCGGUGGACCCCUCCUUGAAAACAAAUAAGCACUGUUAAAGUCAACGUUCUGUUCGAAUUGUGACUGUUAAAGUCGAGUUUGUGGUUACAGCAACUAUAAGUAAUCAUACGGUCUACACCACUAUUAGCAAACCAGAUACCUGGUUGUCAAUCUGAAAGGAUCCGACAUGACAAAAUGUGAAACAAUUCAAACGAAAAAUACAACUCAUUCUCGAGACAAACUUGCCUUCAGAGUUACAUGUGAUCCAUUAGCAAAUAAGAUUAGGCAACAAAUAUUAAUCAAGUAAUUGAUGAGCUAUAUACACCAAACAAACUAAUUUCCCGGUAUUCGAAGCGUUACUAAAUAAAUUUCUAAAGAACUUAUUGGGAUUCAAAGAACAAUAAUAGACAAUCAGGUAGUAGAGAAGACAGUCGAGCAGAC